UACGGGGGGGUGCGAGCGUUGUCCGGAAUCACUGGGCGUAAAGAGCGCGCAGGCGGUCGGCCAAGUCGAGUGUGAAAGCCCCCCGGCUCAACUGGGGGAGGGUCAUUCGAUACUGGUCGACUCGAAGGCAGGAGAGGGAAGCGGAAUUCCCGGUGUAGUGGUGAAAAUGCGUAGAUAUCGGGGAGGAACACCAGUGGCGAAGGCGGCUUCCUGG
rnacentral:rRNA from 1 species